rnacentral:rRNA from 1 species
UACAGAGGUCCCAAGCGUUGUUCGGAUUCACUGGGCGUAAAGGGCGCGUAGGCGGCGCAACAAGUCACUUGUGAAAUCUCCGGGCUUAACUCGGAACGGUCAAGUGAUACUGUUGUGCUAGAGUGCGGAAGGGGCAACUGGAAUUCUCGGUGUAGCGGUGAAAUGCGUAGAUAUCGAGAGGAACACCUGCGGCGAAGGCGGGUUGCUGGGCCGACACUGACGCUGAUGCGCGAAAGCCAGGGGAGCGAACGGG